CCUAUUAAAGCGGUACGCGAGCUGGGUUCAGAACGUCGUGAGACAGUUCGGUCUCCUAUCUACCAUGGGCGUUGAAACUUGCGGGGACUCAUCCCUAGUACGAGAGGACCGGGAUGGAUCGACCUCUGGUGUACCAGUUGUUCUGCCAAGGGCACUGCUGGGUAGCUAACGUCGAGUGCGGAUAACCGCUGAAAGCAUCUAAGCGGGAAGCCGCCCCCAAGAUGAGGUUUCGUUGAGCCCCCUCGGAGAUGACGAGGUUGAUAGGUCGCAGGUGCAAGAAUCGCAAGAUUUUCAGCCGAGCGAUACUAAUCGGGCGAGUCCCGACGGA
rnacentral:rRNA from 1 species